rnacentral:rRNA from 1 species
AGAUUGAACGCUGGCGGCAUGCUUUACACAUGCAAGUCGAACGGUAACAGGCCGCAAGGUGCUGACGAGUGGCGAACGGGUGAGUAAUGUAUCGGAACGUGCCCAGUCGUGGGGGAUAACGCAGCGAAAGCUGCGCUAAUACCGCAUACGAUCUAUGGAUGAAAGCGGGGGACCGUAAGGCCUCGCGCGAUUGGAGCGGCCGAUAUCAGAUUAGGUAGUUGGUGGGGUAAAGGCUCACCAAGCCAACGAUCUGUAGCUGGUCUGAGAGGACGACCAGCCACACUGGGACUGAGACACGGCCCAGACUCCUACGGGAGGCAGCAGUGGGGAAUUUUGGACAAUGGGCGCAAGCCUGAUCCAGCAAUGCCGCGUGCAGGAAGAAGGCCUCGGUUGUAACUGCUUUGUACGGAACGAAACGGUACCGUGGUUAAUACCUGGGCGUAAUGACGGUACCGUAAGAGUAAGACACCGGCUAACUACGUAGCCAGCAGCCGA